UACAGAGGUCUCAAGCGUUGUUCGGAUUCAUUGGGCGUAAAGGGUGCGUAGGUGGCGCGGUAAGUCGGGUGUGAAAUUUCGGAGCUUAACUCCGAAACUGCAUUCGAUACUGCCGUGCUUGAGGACUGGAGAGGAGACUGGAAUUUACGGUGUAGCAGUGAAAUGCGUAGAUAUCGUAAGGAAGACCAGUGGCGAAGGCGGGUCUCUGGACAGUUCCUGACGCUGAGGCACGAAGGCCAGGGGAGCAAACGGG
rnacentral:rRNA from 1 species